rnacentral:rRNA from 1 species
GGGUAGUUUGACUGGGGCGGUCUCCUCCCAAAGAGUAACGGAGGAGCACGAAGGUGGGCUAAUCACGGUUGGACAUCGUGAGGUUAGUGCAAUGGCAUAAGCCCGCUUAACUGCGAGAAUGACGGUUCGAGCAGGUGCGAAAGCAGGUCAUAGUGAUCCGGUGGUUCUGUAUGGAAGGGCCAUCGCUCAACGGAUAAAAGGUACUCCGGGGAUAACAGGCUGAUACCGCCCAAGAGUUCAUAUCGACGGCGGUGUUUGGCACCUCGAUGUCGGCUCAUCACAUCCUGGGGCUGAAGUCGGUCCCAAGGGUAUGGCUGUUCGCCAUUUAAAGUGGUACGCGAGCUGGGUUUAGAACGUCGUGAGACAGUUCGGUCCCUAUCUGCCGUGGGCGUUGGAAGAUUGAAGGGGGCUGCUCCUAGUACGAGAGGACCGGAGUGGACGAACCUCUGGUGUUCGGGUUGUGUCGCCAGACGCAUUGCCCGGUAGCUAAGUUCGGAAUUGAUAAGCGCUGAAAGCAUCUAAGCGCGAAGCGAGCCCUGAGAUGAGUCUUCCCUGAUACUUUAAGUAUCCUAAAGGGUUGUUCGAGACUAGAACGUUGAUAGGCAGGGUGUGUAAGCGUUGUGAGGCGUUGAGCUAACCUGUACUAAUUGCCCGUGAGGCUUAACC